UGGGGAAUCUUGGACAAUGGGGGCAACCCUGAUCCAGCGAUGCCGCGUGAGUGAAGAAGGCCUUCGGGUCGUAAAGCUCUUUAGGUUGGGAAGAAGGAUGGUUGAGGAAAUGCUUCCAUCUUGACGGUACCAGCAGAAUAAGCACCGGCAAACUCUGUGCCAGCAGCCGCGGUAAUACAGAGGGUGCGAGCGUUAAUCGGAAUUACUGGGCGUAAAGGGUGCGUAGGCGGUUUAGUGUGUGUGAUGUGAAAGCCCCGGGCUUAACCUGGGAAGUGCAUCGCAAACUAUUAGACUUGAGUAGAUGAGAGGGUGGCGGAAUUUCCGGUGUAGCGGUGAAAUGCGUAGAGAUCGGAAGGAACGUCAAUGGCGAAGGCAGCCACCUGGCAUCAUACUGACGCUGAGGCACGAAAGCGUGGGGAGCGAACAGG
rnacentral:rRNA from 1 species